CACUGAAUGGAAUGAAACCAAACAUGGCAUGAAUCUUCCUUAUGAGAUGCUCACCAAGUGUUGUUACUUUGUAGCCGAUCCAUCAUCCAAAAUGGCCGCCAGCGGGGGACUUAGUUUAACAAAGGACCUAUGGGAAAUACAUACAAAUGUCUUCUUUUAGAGAACCACUGAAUGGAAUGAAACCAAACAUGGCAUGAAUCUUCCUUAUGAGAUGCUGACCAAGUGUUGUUACUUUGUAGCCGAUCCAUCAUCCAAGAUGGCCGCCAGUGGGGGACUUAGUUUUACAUAGGACCCUUUGGGAAAUACAUAAAAAUGUCUUCUUAUAGAGAACCAAUAAAUGGAAUGGAACCAAACAUGGCAUGAAUGUUCCUUAUGUGAUGUUGACCAAGUGUUGUUACUUUGCAGCCGAUCCAUCAUCCAAGAUGGCCGAAAGCGGGGGACUUAGUUUAACAUAGGACCCUAUGAGAAAUACAUACAAUUGUCUUCUUUUAGAGAACCACUGAAUGGAAUUGAACCAAACAUGGCAUGAAUGUUCCUUAUGAGUUGCUGACCAAGUGUUGUUACUUUUUCAGUCGAUCCAUCAUCCAAGAUGGCCUCUAGGGGGGGGGGGGGCUUAGUUUAACAUAGGACCCUAUGGGAAAUACAUACAAAUGUCUUCUUUUAGAGUACCACUAAAUGGAAUGAAACCAAACAUGGCAUGAAUGUUCCUUAUGAAGUGCUGACCAAGUGUUGCUACUUUGUUGCCGAUUUACUGUUCAAGAUGGCCACCAGGAUAUUUUAUAAAAUAACGGGACCAAUAUUAAUCAAAAUUUGGCCUCAAUCAUUAUUUGGGUAUCUGUUAUGAUUUUUAUCUAUCUUUACAUGAUUUCUAAAACAAAGUAGAGUCAGGUGAGCGACACAGGCUCUUGAGAGCCUCUAGUUUGAGUU